rnacentral:rRNA from 1 species
UACGAAGGUUGCAAGCGUUACUCGGAAUUACUAGGCGUAAAGGGCAGGUAGGUGGUUUGGUAAGUCUAUUGUGAAAGCUCCCGGCUUAACCGGGAGAGGCCAAUGGAUACUACCAGGCUUGAGUAUAGGAGAGGUUACUGGAAUUCCCGGUGUAGCGGUGAAAUGCGCAGAUAUCGGGAGGAACACCGGUGGCGAAGGCGGUUCUCUGGGCCUUACCUGACGCUGAGGAGCGAAAGCGUGGGGAGCGAACAGG